AUGUAGAUGCCUACAACAUAGUUUUAAUGCAUCAGAUCUCAUUAGAACUUUAUAGUUAAGCACGCUCAGCCUAGAGUAGUAUUGGGAUGGGUGACUGCUUGGGAAGUCCUAGUGUUUUACAUG
rfam:Picea glauca, whole genome shotgun sequence.